rnacentral:rRNA from 1 species
GNAGGGAACAAGCGNCAUCCGGACCNAUNGGGUGUAAAGGGUGCGUAGACGGGAAGACAAGNUGGUNGUGAAAGCCCUCGGCNCAACNGAGGAACNGCAACCAAAACUAUCAUNCUUGAGUGCGGGAGAGGAAAGUGGAAUNCCUAGUGUAGCGGUGAAAUGCGUAGAUAUUAGGAGGAACACCAGUGGCGAAGGCGACUNUCUGGACCGUAACUGACGUUGAGGCACGAAAGUGUGGGGAGCAAACAGGAUUAGAUACCCUGGUAGUCCACACCGUAAACGAUGGAUACUAGGUGUAGGGAACGAUAUGUUUUCUGUGCCGAAGCAAACGCAAUAAGUAUCCCACCUGGGGAGU